UACGGAGGGUGCGAGCGUCGUCCGGAAUUACUGGGCGUAAAGGGCGCGUAGGCGGUUUACCAAGUCAGAUGUGAAAGCCUGGGGCUUAACCCCAGAAGUGCAUUUGAAACUGGUAGGCUAGAGUGCAGUAGAGAAUGGCGGAAUUCCCAGUGGAGAGGUGAAAUUCGUAGAUAUUGGGAGGAACACCGGUGGCGAAGGCGGCCAUUUGGGCUGUAACUGACGCUGAGAUGCGAAAGCGUGGGGAGCAAACAGG
rnacentral:rRNA from 1 species